GUGAGAUCAGAGACAAGGAGUAAAAUGCCUGAGCUCAAGUGACAACAAGCAACCCCAGACUAGAGACAGGAUCCUUCUCCCCACUUCGAGCAGAUCCCAGCAUGAAUCCUGCAGUAUGGUGAUGGCAAAAGUCAGUGCAGGACCACUGGGACUCCUGGAGCUUCUCACAUCUCUGAGAGCACCAGCAGCAGAUCCUUAGAAUAUACACAAAGUUUUCAUGGACCACACAUUAUGAAACACUGGAUUAGCGCAAAGUGAAAUGCUUCCAGAGUAGGAGCCACUAUUCUGAGGAAUCUUGGAAGAAAAAGUAUCAAAAUAUGUUACUAUGUUUUGGGGGGAUAGAGACAGAACUUAAAAUUGAUUGAACUCCAAAUAUGGCCAAUUUUUUGGAUGAUUUAAUCUUUCCCUAAAGCUCUUUGUUUACCCAUAAAAUGUGAACUUUCCUUGACUUUGACUGGGUAUGGAGUAGAUUGAUGGUAUUGACUGAUAUUUUUGAGUGUGUAGUUUGUGGUUUUAUGAGGCAUUUUUAUAUUGUCUUUACACUUUUGGAAAGUAUAUGCAAUUGCUAAAACUUCAACGUUAUCUUUUUCUUUUGAUGAAAUAGAAAACAUCGCCCAUUUCAUCUGUUUCUUCAGUCCCCAGAUAGCAGAUGACUGGUAGGAAGAUGAGGCAAGUUUGCGGUCCAUUGUCAUGGAUAGUGGAGACAACACUGGGCCAGAAGUGGUAAGACCUGAAUCCAAGACUCAGCUCUGCCACUUGCUAAAUGGGACUUUGAAUAAACCAUUUCUCUGCACUUAAGUUCCUUACCAACAAAACGAGGGAAGUGGCCUACAUGCCUAGAUAUCAACAUUUCAUGUCACGUAGAGAUCUAGCAUCACAAGAAUCCAAGUCAUCCUCUGUUGCCUUUAAGAUUUCAGCAUGGUGAAGGAAAAGUAGCAGAAGACUGAAUGCAUACUCAGUUUUCAAGCUCUGGAUUUAAUCUUUCCAUAGCUGGAAUUGCCUCCUCCUCAAAAGCCUUAUUUGUUCAUUUAAUUGGGGCAACAUGAAAUAAUGAUGUAUCAUUGACAGAGAACAGGGGGCUUAGGUUCUCAUCUUGGUCCUAGUGAUUACUCUAUGCAUAACCUCAACUUCUUUAUCUGUACAUUGGGAACAAUAAUUCUUACUCCACUUGUUGUGUUGAAACUGAAUUAUAUAAUUCAUAAAUUAAAACACCAAAUUCUGAUAAAUGCUAAAUGCCAUUUUCUUAUCUUGUUCUUUCCUAUAAUGCCCAUUUUGAUAUAAACCAGGCUCCCUAGUCAGUCUUG
rnacentral:lncRNA from 1 species